AUCUCCCUCUGUCGGCAGGCCUAACACAUGCAAGUCGAACGAACUCUUCGGAGUUAGUGGCGGAGGGGUGAGUAACACGUGGGAACGUGCCUUUAGGUUCGGAAUAACUCAGGGAAACUUAUGCUAAUACCGAAUGUGCUCUUCGGGGGAAAGAUUUAUCGCCUUUAGAGCGGCCCGCGUCUGGUUAGCUAGUUGGUGAGGUAAAGGCUCACCAAGGCGACGAUCAGUAGCUGGUCUGAGAGGAUGAUCAGCCACAUUGGGACUGAGACACGGCCCAAACUCCUACGGGAGGCAGCAGUGGGGGAUCUUGCGCAAUGGGCGAAAGCCUGACGCAGCCAUGCCGCGUGAAUUAUGAAGGUCUUAGGAUUGUAAAAUUCUUUCACCGGGGACGAUAAUGACGGUACCCGGAGAAGAAGCCCCGGCUAACUUCGUG
rnacentral:rRNA from 1 species